rnacentral:misc_RNA from 1 species
UAGCAAUAUCUUUUGCUAGGACAAAGUCAAGAAAUUCAUUCUCAGGAAGGUCUGUAGUUUCAUAACCUAUCCUACCUAGAUCAUCCUUAUCAGGACUAGAGUCAUUAGAUCGAAUAAGUUCAAUGAGCAGGAUAAAUUCAAUAGGAACUCAGAGGACAGAAGAGCAAGUGGCCCAGCCAUUAUAUGAUUUAAGAAGUGCCUCUUCAAGCCCAAUAGAAACAGUAAGUCUUAAAAGGCCUGAAAGUCCGACACCGUCUGAUAUGGAUUAUGAAAAAGAAAGCAUUAGACAACCCAGAAAAAUCAUGGCCUUAACCAAAGAAGAAACUCCAUUUGAAAAAUGGUUUCAAAUGACUUUCACAAUAGAAAAGCAAACCUCUUAUCUGAGAGAAUAUGCUUGGUACCAAGAGAGAGGAGCAAAUAAAAAAUUUCCUGACUUUAUGAAAUAUAUGAUGGCCUGUAGAAAAAAAAGCCAUUUCCCAACUUUGAAGAUAGGAUGUUCUUAAUAACCCUAGAAUCAUCCUAUAGAAACUUUAUUACUUCAAAAGUAAAGCUUCUAAAAGGAGUGCACCCACCUUUAACAGAGUUAUCUUAUAAGGUAACAGAAAAUCAAGAAGUAGAAUGUGCCCCAUUUUCUAAGACAGACAAGCCAGGUAAUUUUGCCAAUCUUAGUCUAUAUACGAUAGGCCAACAGCUAAAUAGAGUAGAAAAUCAAAUUCAAAAUUUCAAAUCAAGAAAUUAUUAUCCUGAAAAAGGAGAAUCGUCCAAAACAAGUACAAACAAAAUGGUUUUAUUCAAGCCAAUGGAAUCUGAAGACUUAGGUUUAAAAUUAGCCAAAGAAGAUCAUUCAGAAAUGAUAGGAGAACUAACCAAAAGGUUAGCCGAAUUAGGAAUAGAGUCCAAAAAGAAAUCUGCAGCUCCUUUAACAAAGGAUUCAAACAUGAUAGAUGAGUUAACUAAAAGGUUAAAUAAUCUUAAUUUAAGCCCCGUUAACCAAGGAAAAAUAGUGAUGGAUCAGAUUCAACAGAAUUAACUUCUGAAGAAGAAGAAAUUUCUAAAGUAAAAAUUAAUAAAAUUUAGUCAAUUCUUAAAGAGUCAGAUCAACCAACUCAAAUUGAUAGGAUUAUCUAUCAUAAACUAAGAGCAGUGAUGGAUAUAAAGCCUUAUUACCCUAGGCCGUCUCCAGUCAAUCUACAAUAUGAAGAUACUAGUUAUAAUUAUAUGCAGUAUGAUGUUACUUCAAUUGUAGAAUGGAAUAUUGAUAGAUUAUCUGAUUAUCAAAUGAAAAAUGUAAUUCAAUAUAUGACCAUGAAUACAACAGCCUCUAGAGCCAAAGGAAAUAGUGAUUAGGCAAUUGCAAAGGCCAUUAUGGCCGGCUUUAUAGGACAACUAAAAGGUUGGCGGGACUUCUCUUUAUCAGGAGAAGGUAAAGCCCAAGUUUUUAAUGCUGUUGAAACAGAAGCUAGAAUCGAUGAUUAAAUAACUGUCUUAGACUGUGUUAACACCUUAUUAUACACUAUAGGUAUACAUUUUAUAGGAUCUAUCAGUUUGUAUAUGGAUAUAUCUCAAGAACAAUUAAUGAAUUUACGGUGUCCUGAUCUGUUUCAUUUUAAAUGGUAUAAAGAUACUUUUUUUGCCCUUAUUUUUACUAGGGAAGACAAUCAAUAUGAUUUCUGGAAAGAAAAUUUUCUUUCUGGAUUACUCUCGUUAUUUGUUGAAUGAGUUAAAAAACAAAUUAGGGAUAAAAAUGAAGGAACAAUCCCUUAUCAUCAGUAUGCUUGUGGUGAAUUAGCCUCUAAAGUAGUGUUUGCAGGAGUCGCUCUAUGUAAUGAAUUAAAAAUUCAUAAACAGAUGCAAAAGGAAAAAAUCAUGGGUAAAAGAAUACUUGGGGAUUUUUUGCGAACAGAUAGGAUUUUCACCUAUAACUUUUCCUCAUAGGAGGAAAGUUAUGAGGGGUAAAGUGGGAAAGAAAAAGAAAAGUUAUAAUACUAAAAGGUAUUAUAAGAAAGAUAAAAAAAGAUAAGGGAGAAUCUUCGACAAAGAAAAAGAAAACAAAAUCUUCUAAAAGAAAGAAAAAGGAUACAAAAGUAGUCUGUUAUAAAUGUGGAAAAACAGGAUAUUACGCUAAUAAGUGUAAAGUAAAACAACAAAUACAGGCUCUA